rnacentral:lncRNA from 1 species
ACAAGACCAAGAGAGCGAGACCCAAAGACACGUUCACAAGAGUUAUCAAUAGUUUGACAAUAUACUGCCUGAAUCGGACAUUAC